CCUACGGGGGGCUGCAGUGGGGAAUAUUGCACAAUGGGCGCAAGCCUGAUGCAGCCAUGCCGCGUGUGUGAAGAAGGCCUUCGGGUUGUAAAGCACUUUCAGCGGGGAGGAAGGCGUUAAGGUUAAUAACCUUGUCGAUUGACGUUACCCGCAGAAGAAGCACCGGCUAACUCCGUGCCAGCAGCCGCGGUAAUACGGAGGGUGCAAGCGUUAAUCGGAAUUACUGGGCGUAAAGCGCACGCAGGCGGUCUGUCAAGUCGGAUGUGAAAUCCCCGGGCUCAACCUGGGAACUGCAUUCGAAACUGGCAGGCUAGAGUCUUGUAGAGGGGGGUAGAAUUCCAGGAGUAGCGGUGAAAUGCGUAGAGAUCUGGAGGAAUACCGGUGGCGAAGGCGGCCCCCUGGACAAAGACUGACGCUCAGGUGCGAAAGCGUGGGGAGCAAACAGGAUUAGAUACCCCAGUAGUC
rnacentral:rRNA from 1 species